rnacentral:tRNA from 1 species
GGGGGUAUGGUCUAAUGGUAAGACAACGGUCUCCAAAACCGUUGACGCGGGUUCGAUUCCUGCUACCCCUG